AAAACUUUAUAAAAUCAUCCUUUUAUCCAAAAACAAUAUUUUUUAAACAAUUUUAUCAUUAAAUAAAAAUAAAAAAAGGUGGAAAAUAGGCAUUGCUUCCUAACUGUUCGCAUUCUCCCUUUUCCCAUACAUAGCCUUUGUCUACUUCACUACCAAAUCUAAGACUUCCCCUAACCUCACCCUCUUCGGCUUCUACUUUUUGCUCGCCUUCAUCGGAGCCACUGUACCAGUUGGGUUUGAGUCAUCGGCCACAAUCACCGCUAUGCAGAGCUCUUGUGGAGCCUCAACUCAAAGCGGAGAGCUGACCCGGAGAAGUUAUAACGGUUCGGAUAUGUCCACAAGAACAGAACCGGAAUGAAACUGGAAACGGAAGGGAGGGGAGGAAGCUUUCGCUGGUGACGGUGGAGGUUAUGACGAGGACGAGUCAGUAAUUUGUCCUUGGUGGCGAUUUGGGCCAUUACAGCGGUUCCACCCCGCCGUUAUCUCCCAUAUAAGCCCAAUUCCAACCCUAAUUUCAGCAACACCAGGUUGCUGAAGACGCGUGCGUACACUACUGCUUUCAUUGUGUAGCGAUCUCCGAUCCUAUGCGUUCCUUGACGAUCUUCUCCGGCGGCAUCCUCCGGCGACAAUCUCCUCCGGUGACGUCUCCUCUAGCUUCUUGUUGUACUUCUUCUCUACCAAAAUCCUCAGUGUCUCCCUUUCGUUCUCCCUUUCCUUCCAUUGAUGUGUUUGAUGAUGGAAACCUACCGCAGGAGAAUAGCUUCAUAUAUGGCUGGUGGAGUGGAGGAUUUGGAUAUGGACUGUGAAUUGGGAUCUUAGAUCAGAAGUAACUCAAUUACCUGCAGAAGCUCAAUACCAGCUGGUGAAAUCCAACUUGAUGCUAACUGCAGUAUUGAUUUGAACCUAGAUUUCAAUAGGUAUUUUUAUUUACUCCUUUUUAUUGUUUUCUCCAUUUGUUCACUGCUUAUUAUCAGAGAUUUUCUUUAUUUAGUCUUUUUUUUUUUUAAGUUGUUGCUUAUUAAGAUGGAAUAAGAUUUGAUGGUUGUUACUGUUGUUGUCAUAUAUUGAUUUCUAAUAUUGAUUUUUGUGUUUAAAAUUUCAGAUGCUAAGAUUUCUAAUAAGAUUUCUAAUAUUGAUUUCUAAUAAGAUUUGAUGAUUGUUACUUUUAAGUCUUUUGGCCGUUCCUUAUAAAGAUUGAAAGUUUAGAUAUGAACUAUUAAUAAUUAUGUGUUGGUAAUGUCCAGUUAAUUGAUUAUACGACCAAGUCAAUCUUAUCUUCUUAGUCAUGUUGUUGAACCGUUAUAAAUUUCUGUUUUACCCUUAUGACAAUGUAACAUCAGCAUUCUAGUGUUCACUGGUGGUUAAUCAGAGGUAUGAUUUGGAAACUGUUACAUUAUCCUGCAUUUAUAGCUUUAUAAUUAUAUUCCUGAUUAAUUUUAUUUUACUAUGUUAAUCUUGCACAUAUUGGAUGCUGUUUCCAACUUCCAAUAGAUACUUCUUGUUGCAAUUUUUUGUUCAGAACUUCAGAUAUGCAACUGAUUAUCAAGCAAGAAAUAAAUUUUUAAAAAAAGAAGAAAACAAAAAAUCCAAUUGGUAUUGUUCUACUCAAUGAAUAAAUGCUCAUGUGAGCUGACAACCAUUUCCAGAAGAUGGUUCUGUUUUUACAUAGGUUGAACUAUUGUGAACUGCAAUUGUCUUGGAAAUUAUUUGACUUUUAAAAUUUGACCCCCCCUUCUAAAUCUUACACUUAAUUUAGCAGUGAGUAUAUGUACCUCCUCACAAUCCUUUAUCAUUCGAUGCUUUGUGUAUUUGUUCGAUGUUAAUUCUCUCAUUCUUAAAUUAGGUCUUAUAUUUGUUUCUCCCUUGUUCUAGCUGACUGGAUUUGUUAUUGAUCAGGGCCUAGCUGCCUUAAUUGGAUUUGUGUUCUUGUGGUUUAAUUGGCAACCUAUAAAGUGAAAGAUGCUUAAGUUGACUCUUUGUAAAUAAAAGGUUUAUUUCUUAUUUUAACCCUUCAAAUAACUAAUUUGAUAAUCGUUAGCAGAGCAAACAUGUAACUUUAUUAUUGAUCUAUCUAACCCAUUAUUUAUUUCUUUUUUUAGUGACAUGGUAUACAUUUUGUUGCUGCUGACAGUAGUCAUUCCGUGAUUCUUGCAAUAUCCUUUUUUGUAAUAGCACUUUCAUUAUACCAUAUAAUGCACCCACCCAGGUGCUCCUACAUAAACUACAUUUUUUUAUAUGUUUUUCAUUAUAAUCUUAUUUUGCAUAUGUUGUGCUGCAUUAGGAGAUCUUGAUGUCAAAAAGUGAGAAGGAAAAAUUAUUUGGCUCCAAAAAUUCUGAGCUUAAUAAGGUAAUAGCUUCAUGUUCUUUCAUCUGUUAAUAUAUAAAUUAUAUUAUACACUCCACUUUUGAUGCUAAAUUUAAUUUGUCUAAUUUCGAAUUUGUCCAAUUUCUUCUUGUUAAGAGCUCCCAAUCCCAAUUUGUUUUGUUCUCUGUGUUUUUCUUCAUGAUCAUCUAUGUCAAUGUCAUCUAUACAAGAAUAAUUAAGAACAUCUCAGAUUGUAUAUAGAAAUUCUAUUAAUACAGACUCAUGCCUUAGAUAAUGUAAGUAUUUAUAUCUAUAUUUAGAUCAAAAUUAUCUUCAUCAGCAGUCAGGUUAUCAUUAUUAGCUGCCUCAGAAGGAAAAUUCGCAUUUGAAAAGAUCACUGAAAGUUCCUGAAUACUCUCUUUAGAAUCUUCUGUUUCCGCAAUCGGGGCAUGCUUUUUUUUACCACCGGUGAGAUCUUUGAUAACUUAGAUGAAUAUUCCCUAGGGAAGUCAGAGAGCAAAGCAAGCACCAUUACUUCCAAAGAUAACAUCAGCUAAGAAUGGAUCAAGUGAGGAGAAUAUGAUAUGAAAUCUAACUCAAUAUUGUAGUUUGUCACAAUACAUUGAUGUAAAUCUUUUGGGAUAUCGAGCACCUUCGCCAACAGAUAGUUUGCUAAGUUUAAUAAAGUUUAUUUUCAUGCUAAA